rnacentral:tRNA from 1 species
GAAGUAGCCAAGCGGUAAGGCAACGGACUUUGACUCCGUCAUUCGUGGGUUCGAUCCCCGCCUUC